CUUUAUAAUAAAAAAAGACAUGGAAAUCUCACUUUUUACAAUAUGGGACCUUUGAGUUAGGUGAAUCAUGGCACAUCAGGAAGGUAGCUGAGAAAACCAACAAAAGAACCUUUUCACCAGUGACCAGCCCCGCUGUGAAAUGUUAAUAUCUGCUAGCUCUUUCUAGUAUUUGUCCCGGUUAGAAAGGGUAAUAGAUGAGAUAACGCCCGAGGUGAUCCUUCAUAGGGCAUAGAGCUCAUUAAUCCCUUGAUGUAUUACUUCUACGUUUCCUUUUUAUCGGGUGGGCUCCCUGACUCAAAGGGAGCCUUAAAGCCGUCGCUUUGGAGAAGCAGGAAGGUAAUUGCACAUGUGCACUCACUGAUGAGAAAAAGUGUCUUCACCUUGUUCCUGAGAUUCACACUCAAUCACUGCUGCUAUUCUGCCAAGUCUGCCAGUUAUUAACCCGGAAUUGACCUUUACAUUUGUUUUAUUUCUGUGCUCACGUUAUAGUGUUUGUUCAUGUGUUAUUCUACUUUCCUUCCCAUUUACACUACUACAACUGUCCUCCAAGCCCUUUGACCCUGCGCAUGCAGACAGACUCAGGAAAGAGAUCCUCCAACACAUUCAUUGUGAGAAUAUGUUUCAAUCAUGAUUGAAUGACCCACACAUUUAUAUUCGUAUGCAGAUACGCACCCACAAAGACACCCAUGCUUUGGUGACUUAUGCAGCACCCUCACAGACAUUGCACAAAGAAUUCAGACAUUUCCACAAGAAUAUGUGUAUGCCUGAUUCAGAGGCAGGCUGAGGCGAAUCUCCUAGACUCUCAAGGCCACUUCCUCUACAGCGUCUUUCCUUUGGGAGGGCGCUUAAAAGGCAGAAAGCGUGUGAGAAAACAGAUGCUGGGUGUUGUGCGUUAGCGGAAGUUCAAAGUGUGAUGGCAGUGAAAUGUUUUGUCAACUCCUCAUAUACAGUAUAUUGCUAAGUCGAAAGACGUAACUGAAGACGUGCUUUUGUGGACAUCGGUAAAGUCCUACGCAUUUAUGUGGUGUGUUUAAGCAUAAUUGGUUAAGUGUGUUGCAUGCUGUUCUCCUCGAUGUGAUCAUCCCAUUUCCUCUUUUGCUGGAGUUGACUGCAGGUGACCCUGAUGGUGCCAUGUUGUGGUUCAUGCUGUUCUCUGCUGCUUCUCUCCAGCUUGACCCCCAGGCAAUACUUGGAUGCUGGUUAAGUACACACUCUGCCACUCCCAGCCUGUCUUUCAGAAGCACAUUAUGUCUGUUGCAGGGAGGAGUUGUGGUGUUGCUGGGCCAUUAGCUUACCACAGAGUGAGAAGAAGAAAACACAGAUGGGGCAAGCUGCUGCGGACAAUAAUGAAAGACAUGUGUCAGUGUCCCUGAAGGGUACAGACUGUACUGGAUGUGAAAAUUGUACAAUGAAAAAAGGGAGUACCACAGCAUCAUGUGCCACUCGACCCCCCCAUCUCCCCCCACUUCAUCAGACCACUUAAUAAAUAUAGACAGCUGUCUCUAAUGCAUCACAAAUCACAGAUCUUUAAGGAACGAUUUAUUGAACUGCCACAUUUUUUGAACGGGGUUCUGCUGGACGUUCAGGGUGACAACUGUAAUUGCAAAAUUACAUGUAAGCAUGAUUCUUUUAUAUUCUUGUCUUAUUUCUGUUUUAUUUUCUCUCACAAUGCUGAAAGUGAGUUUUUCUCAUUCUCACAUGUUGAUUCUGAUUCUCACUAAACUAAGUGGGAGCCACAAUGUCUGGAACAUAAUGUGAGCACCGUUUGUCUGAACAGACAGGGGCUACAAGGUCACCCUAAAACUAUCUCUCGGUACAUUCAUUUGUCCCCUUACAAUUGAGAUAAACGGCUCCAGGAUGUCUCCUGUGUUUCAGAUUGUCUUCUAUGUCUAAAAUUGCCUGUAAGAAAUGCAGAGUCAUGUUUAGACCAGAGCAUGUGUGGUUUCUUUUCAUGUAUAUAAACUCAGUGUUCUUGUUCACGCGUUGAAGAGACAUUUUCCACACUGAGCUGUCGUGCCCUUUGUGAAACCUGUGUUACUCCUAUAUUUGCAAAUAUAUAAUAAAAUACAAAAAAGUAGUCUUCAA